UACUUUAGGUUUGAUUUGUUUGUAAUUCCGAAGCCAAACAAAAAUGGAUAAGAAAAAGAAGAACCCGCUCCCCCACCCGAAACAUCUGCAUAGCAAGAGCAGUACAGAAAGCAUAGAAGUGGCAAAAGUAUUGUGUUUUCUAACAUUAUAGCUCAUAUGGUUGGCAGACAUCAGGAAAUAAUUUUGGCUUAAUAACCUCAUUCUCCUGGCAUGGUGGUCAUUACGCAGGACUUUGAUGUAUUAUCCUGAGCAACUGAUUUACUCAGUUUCAUUUUUCAAAGGAAUACUGUGAGACCCGCUCAAUUGGAUGCCUUCAAGACCUCAAUAAAAUGUUAACAAAAGGAAUGUGUCACAAUUCAGGAUGUUAAAUGUAGUGGCAGCAGUCUGUUUGCUACAGGAAAACAACAGGCUUCCCAUUCCUCUUCAUUUUCUUUCUCUGCUAAAGAGAAAAAAGCUGGAUGGGUUUCUUGCCAAUCUCUUGCUCUACUUUUCUUGCUACUUUGAAAACAAACAAAAAAAAAAACUCUGGAGGAAAGACCGAAGUCUCUCAUGGGAGAGGACACUGAGAGGCAGAUGCAUGGAGAAACGUGUGCUAAGGUGGAGCUGGCACAAAAGCAGCUUGCCCUCUGUCAUGUCAGGCUGCUGCUGGGAUAGAUCUGGCUCAACAGCACCAUAUGACUUUUGACAGGAUCAAGGUGUCAUCCACUCACUGUAACAUACAACUAUACGAGUGUCUGCUGACCUUUAACCCAGGAAGUCAAACCGGCGCCCAGCCCUGAACAUAAUCAUAACCCAGCAUUCCCUUCUGAUGGCCUCUCUUCUGCUUACUCCACAAGAAAAGGCCUCUCACCUGUUUGGGGGCUUCAGGCAUCUUAAAGUGUCCUCAACUUAAUGCAUUGAUUUAGAAGCUGUGAUGGAGGGUCUUAUAGAGCAGCUAAAAUCACUUAGCUUUGGAAUUCUCGGAAAGCCUUUGAUCUAAUUCAGCUCAAUGACCCUGAAGCCUCAGGGAGGCCAGAGUUAAAAGGAGAUUGGGGAUAACAAAACUACCUUUUGUUGUUUGUGGGUUUUACAACAUGCAAAUUUCUUUCAGCUAUUAUUUAUUGUCCACUGUGCUUUGCAUGAGGGUUGUUGACUAAAAUCAUGUUCAAUAAGAAGAAAUAACAAUACAUGCCACUAGGUGGCACUCAAUAUUGUUAUUCAGUUCAGUCCUCUUAGGAGUGAACACAUCCUUAUGUUAGGGAUGGAAUGGAAAUGAUUAAUGGAAAAAUAUAUUAAACUAAAAAAGCUAAGUAUGCAAAGUUGGCUAAAUAAAAUGCAUCACAUUACCUUUGUAUCAACUAUUAGAAAAAUGGUUUAAUAAUUUUAUAGUAUCGUUAUUAGUAUUGGAUAACUGCUGAAUUUGAUGUAUAUGUAAGUGUUUAUUAAGGACACAAAAGAGGCCCCAGGGUUCUGGCAGAAGAGGCUUUACCAUCACCUUAAUUGCCGGGGUAAUCUAGGACACCACUGCUAAUAAUCUUGGUCUGCAAAUCAAGAAGAGGGAGGGGUGAAUGUGUUUUUGUGCAGGGGGUUAUUUGGUUACCUUUGGCAGUACUCAAGAUUUAGGAAGCAAGAGUCCAGUUAUCUCUAAACAAUUUACUGCUUUAUAAUUCGUUUCAAAUGCAUUGCAUUGUUACAAAAACGAUCAGACUUAAUUUUGUUUCAUAGAUUGUGGUGUUUAAAUGAAGAUCAUGACCACUCAGAGAAGGUAAAAAAAAAAUUAGUCUGCACAAUAUUGUUUACCAUUACGCGCUACGCAUUUGUGCAAUAGGGGGAGACAUUGCAUUGAGAAUUAAUGAGUUCUUGCAGAUAUACUCUUUAUAGUGCCACCCAAGGCUGUAGCUGGGGUUUGCGGGGCCCCAGUACAGGUUG